rnacentral:RNase_P_RNA from 2 species
GCAGUUAGCCGGUUUGUCGCGUGUACGUUUCGUACAGGAGGAAAGUCCGGGCAACAUAGAGCAUCCUACUUCCUAACAGAAAGCUGUCCGUGAGGGUAGAGUAACGUAGAAGAAAAUAACCGCCACUCCUUUCGAGGAUAGGUAAGGGUGAGAAGGUGGAGUAAGAGCCCACCAGCCGCAUGGCAACAUGUCGGGCUGUACGUCUUAGGAGUUGUAAGGUCAUGUAAACCGGCGUUAUGAGAGCUGCUCGCUCCAUGUCGGAGGGUAGACCGCUAAAGUGGUGUGGUGACACGUCACUCAGAUAAAUGACAGACACCUUAAUUAUUUAUAUUAAGGUACAGAACUCGGCUUAUAGGCUAACUGCUUUU